AGCUCAGCACUGGGCAUAAAGCGUGCGCAGGCGGUUUUGUAAGACAGAGGUGAAAUCCCCGGGCUCAACCUGGGAACUGCCUUUGUGACUGCAAGGCUGGAGUGCGGCAGAGGGGGAUGGAAUUCCGCGUGUAGCAGUGAAAUGCGUAGAUAUGCGGAGGAACACCGAUGGCGAAGGCAAUCCCCCUGGGCCUGCACUGACGCUCAUGCACGAAAGCGUGGGGAGCAAACA
rnacentral:rRNA from 1 species